UGGGACAACAGUCCGAAAGGACUGCUAAUACCGAAUGUUGUAUCUCCACCGCAUGGAAGAGAUAUUAAAGAUGGCCUCUACUUGUAAGCUAUCGCUUUGCGAUGGGUCUGCGUCUGAUUAGCUAGUUGGUGGGGCAACGGCCUACCAAGGCGACGAUCAGUAGCCGGUCUGAGAGGAUGAACGGCCACAUUGGAACUGAGACACGGUCCAGACUCCUACGGGAGGCAGCAGUGGGGAAUCUUCCGCAAUGGGCGAAAGCCUGACGGAGCAACGCCGCGUGAGUGAAGAAGGUCUUCGGAUCGUAAAGCUCUGUUGUCGGGGACGAAUGUUGAGGCCUAGAACAUAGGUUUCAAAUGACGGUACCUGACGAGGAAGCCACGGCUAACUACGUG
rnacentral:rRNA from 1 species